rnacentral:rRNA from 1 species
UACGUAGGGUGCGAGCGUUGUCCGGAAUUAUUGGGCGUAAAGGGCGCGUAGGCGGCCUACUAAGUCAGACGUGAAAUCCCCCGGCUUAACCUGGGAACUGCGUCUGAUACUGGAGGGCUUGAGUGCGGGAGAGGGAUGUGGAAUUCCAGGUGUAGCGGUGAAAUGCGUAGAUAUCUGGAGGAACACCGGUGGCGAAGGCGGCAUCCUGGACCGACACUGACGCUGAGGCGCGAAAGCUAGGGUAGCAAACGGG